rnacentral:rRNA from 1 species
UAGUGGCGAACGGGUGAGUAACACGUGAGUAACCUGCCCCUCACUUCGGGAUAACUCCGGGAAACCGGGGCUAAUACCGGAUAUGAGCUCCUUCCGCAUGGUUGGGGUUGGAAAGAUUUAUCGGUGGGGGAUGGGCUCGCGGCCUAUCAGCUUGUUGGUGGGGUGAUGGCCUACCAAGGCUUCGACGGGUAGCCGGCCUGAGAGGGCGACCGGCCACAUUGGGACUGAGAUACGGCCCAGACUCCUACGGGAGGCAGCAGUGGGGAAUAUUGCACAAUGGGCGAAAGCCUGAUGCAGCGACGCCGCGUGAGGGAUGGAGGCCUUCGGGUUGUAAACCUCUUUCAGCAGGGAAGAAGCGCAAGUGACGGUACCUGCAGAAGAAGCGCCGGCUAACUACGUGCCAGCAGCCGCGGUAAUACGUAGGGCGCAAGCGUUGUCCGGAAUUAUUGGGCGUAGAGCUCGUAGGUGGUCUGUCGCGUCUGGUGUGAAAUCCCGAGGCUCAACCUCGGGCUUGCAUCGGGUACGGGCAGACUAGAGUGCGGUAGGGGAGACUGGAAUUCCUGGUGUAGCGGUGGAAUGCGCAGAUAUCAGGAGGAACACCGAUGGCGAAGGCAGGUCUCUGGGCCGCAACUGACGCUGAGGAGCGAAAGCAUGGGGAGCGAACAGGAUUAGAU